GUAUCUCUAAAGUCUAAAGUAAAGACUCUAAAGUGACCAUUCUUUAAAACCUUACUCUUUUUCAUGAAGCUACAGGUCAGAUCUUCAUUCUAGUUAUUGGGUGAACAGGAGACCAUUUGAGAUCCUUAAGCCUGUUCCACUGAUACAGAAUAUUAUGGUAGCCUAGGUACGUGACCUCAUUUUCCUUUCUCCUCUGUCUCGUCUGGCUAAACCCAACCCAACUACUCAAAUAGCUCGAGUUGCGUACAAAGGAAUGAGUUGGUUUACUUUUGUUGUGUUACAUUUUCUUCGACCAGAUUUCAUUCUAACCUGGUAUCUUGCCUCUCUGUAUGCCUUCUCUUCCCAAGUCUGGCGUGUGAUAUUUCUUAUGGGCCGCUGUACAUAAAUGCGUCAAUGUUUUAGAAAUAACGGAAGGGCCCGUUUCCACGCUGUGUCUCUAAGCUGAACAAAACUUAAAGUUUUAAACACUUCAACAGUAAACCAAAACAAAAAGAACGGAAGGAGGUGGAGAGUGGUGUGAGUAGUAGUGUA